CGUGUGCUCUUCCAUCUGUAUGGAACAAACUACCUGCAUCAGUUGUUAGUUGCAAAGACAUAGCAUCCUUUAAAACUUCAACGCUUCCUGAAAUUCGCCAACAUUACACCUGAUAUCCCCACCUCCCACACAUG